GGCGGCCAUUUCGGAUGAUGGAUCGGCUACAAAGUAACAAUAUUUAGUCAACACCUCAUAAGGAAUAUUCAUGCCAUGUCUGCUUUCAAUCCAUUCAGUGGUGCUCUAAAAGAAGACAUUUGUAUGUAUUAUACAUAGGGUCCUAUGUUAAACUACGUCCCCCGCUGGCGGUCAUUUUGGAAGAUGGAUCGGCUACAACGUAACAACACUUAGUCAGCACCUCAUUAGGAACAUUCCUGUCAUGUUUGGUUUCAUUCUAUUCAGUGGUUCUCUAGAAGAAGUUCAAAAUAAAAAAAAAAUAACGACGACGACGCACAACGACGGACGCCAUGGGAUAAGAAAACCCUUCGGGUCAAGUGAGCUAAAAAAAGGGGGGUAUGUUUUUUGGUUUGAUUUAUUUUCGCCAAACGCGAACCUUUGUUUUUUUUGUUUUUUU
rnacentral:lncRNA from 1 species